CUUCUCAGAGCUGGUAACCAGUUGGUGGAGCCCAGGGAUCGUGUCCUGGUUACGCACAAUGCCUCCCCUUCCUCCUCUCCGCACUGCUCUGUCCUUGUCCUUUGCUGGGGACCUUCCAGGCAGGACAGUGAAUGUAUAGGCAUCGUGAUCCCAGGAAAGAUUUUUGGCAGAAGUUACUGACAUGGCUUAUUGCUGGGAGCUGGUAGUGUACCACUGUCUGGGCCAUUCUUAACCCCAGCUCUGCCACACAAAUGCAGCUGAACUGGUCCUUUCCAUCUUCGUAGAUCUCCUUCAAGGUACUCCAGAUUUAGCCCUUUGUCACAUCUACAGUAGACAUAAAGACAGUCAUUCUCAGGAAGAAGUGCAGGGCUAAGGAAGUUUGAACACUUGGACUGCAAACAUAAAACCGUUCUGUUUUCUUCCUUGUGGGUGUCAUUGUCUGCAGCUCCACCCAUCAUCUCAGAAGUACCUUUUCCUUGGUGCUGGUGCAUACUAUGAUUUCUUCAUCAUCAUACUGUUAGUUGGGGACUGCACAAGGUUUUUUGUGGAAGCUUCUGGAAGAAGCAGACAGACAGACAGAAGGAACUGUUUAAGCAGCAAUAGAUGUUGUCAUACUGCCCCUGACUCUUAUAUCUUGACAGUAAUCCUCAUUUGAAGUUUUGAUGAUUAUAGGCUAUGUUUGGCGCUGCUCCUUGUUGCACAUGGAACAAGAUGCUGUGGCUGAUCCUCUAACCUAUAUGCUGUCGUAGUGGUCACAGAGUGGUUACAAAAUUUCCCACGGCUCCAGAUCUGUUGUGUGGAUGCUGGACAAGUGCUGGCAGGCACUUCCAUGGUGUUCAAAUCCUACCAUGGAGAAGAAAGACUCUGUUGACUCCUAUGGGCUCUGGUUCAGGCCCCCCAGCAACUGGACACCUCAAUUAAUUUUCUUUUCUCAAACCAAACUUCCAGAAGAAGCCUCAGUAGAGUGAUGUGCUCUCUUCAGGCACUGUUCUUGUAUGUACAGACUGAGUCAUCCAUUCAGGGAAUAGGAAACAUGCUCGCACUCUGAGUCACUGGACAAAUACAGAAUGCCAAGCAUCAAAAAUGUAGAAGAGUCUUUGCUUCAAAGAACUUUCGGAAAUUGAAUGUUUCUUAACUAUUACAAGCAGUUGUUGAGCAAUUCUGACAAAUCUGUAAAAUUCAUCACUGUCUUGAGGAUAGGAAAAGGAGCAGUUCCAAGAACAGAUGAACUAAUGAAACCUAAUUUCCUAUAAAUAUCUAUUUCAUGAUUAUUGUCUUUGGUGUUUGAAGAGGAUAAGAUUGGUGGAAACUUGCUGCAUUGCAGAACACUUCUCUCUGAGGGGACUUUAUGGAAUCUAAUGAGAAUUAUGCCAGUCUUUCUCACUAGAGACACAUUACUGGGGUGUCUGCUGAGGUAAAAUUUGUCAGUACACUCAGAAAUUAAGGUGGGUAGACAGAUGGACACAGAGCGCUACAGUUAGGUUAAUCUAUGUAGUCUCUGUUUCUUCUCAGAAAGCAGGUUAGAAGAACCUUAUAUAUUUGGUAAUCUGGCAGUCACCAAACUAGAACUGGUGCCUGAAGCAUUAGUAGUAGCAAGGAGGGAGGUGCUACUGGAAGAGAAAUUCAGGGUGAUCCUGUAAUGCCUAACGUGCUGAAAGACAAAGCAAUAAAGUCAGUCAGACAGUGAUAAAGUUAUUUGCCUGCAUAUGAAUAUAUGCUUAAUCUGUAAGACUGCAUUACCUAAUAAAGUAACAGUUUCAUUCAGAGUCAAAUGCAGCCUGGUAGCUUGAGGAGUAGUUUCCUGUAUAAAUCCACAAAAGCAAUGAGAAAUUGAACUGACCUGGUUAUGCCUGGUACUGUCUGGUUAUGGAAUGUCCCAAAGCAUGCUGAGAUGUUUGUGUUCAGUCACUGAUCAUUAUUUGAGCACUUUUUUUAUCUUUUUAAUUAACUUUUAUAUUAUUAUUAUUUUACAUAAUUGCUAUGAAUAGCUUCUGAAUUCAAGAAGCCAUAUAAGGUGCAAAGUUAGCUUAUACUAUUUCUGAUGAUGAACAGCACUGCUCAUAUGUGCCUGAACUCUUGUCUGCAUGACAGUAUGGAUCAGUUAGAGUAAGGAGCCUCUUCCUUUUGGGGUGGAAUAACCCUCAGCUUCUUACUGUAGUCAGGAUACUGCAGGUAGUGUAAUUGUACCAGUUCUGUUUAGUGUGUGCUAAUUGGCUUGGCACGGAUGGCAAAGAUUUAAAACAACCUGCAUAAAAUUUGACAGGAACGUGACAUGAAAUUUGGAGUAAAGGCCUAGAAACUGGCCAGGUUGUAGAGAGGUAGAGCAUCACCAGAGAUAUUUCUCUUAAUGUGAUGUUUAAUUUCAUGUGUUUGGACCCCUCUUUGUAGAUUAUCUAACAAGCAGACAUAAAACAAGACUCGGUUGUGUACCACAUGUGAGCUGCUGUAUGGCUUGAAAUGGUGAGGUGUACCUCAGACAGUAAAAAGAUUAUUGCUUGUAUAAAGAUCUCAGCAGAAAGCCAGCUGCAGUGCCAUGUACUCAUGAUAUGCUAUGCCUGUGAGAUUUGUCUCUGAUGAAAUAGUAUUAAUAACCUGAUCUCCUGCAGGAGGACUCUGGGAGUGUGAAAAUUACAAAGCAUGGAACCAUCUGGAAUAAACUUUUCAGAUUGCUUGUAAAAUUGUACUUAAAGUUGGGGAAAUUAAUCUUCCCCACAACAGGUUUUCCUUUUGUUUCCUUUCUCCUCCCAUGGCUUUUCAUUUCAGCAUUUCCAAAGAUAGCAAUUUAAAACUCUGUGGAAGAAGCCAGGCCACUCACUGCUGAUGAAAGUGUUGAAGGAGACACGCUUCUGGAACCUGGCCACAAGCCACACUGCGUUUCGUCUAGCAAGGCUCAGAGUGUUUUCUCAAUGCUGUUAAUUAUACAAGGCCUUGAAAGAAGAGAGCAACUAUGUUAAAUAAAAAUCCAAAUUCUCUAGAAACUGGGAACUAUUUUCUCUCUCCCUCUACUGUGAAUAUUAAGUUUUCUGUCACUCUCUUACCCUAAAGAAUUGCUAGCAGCGCCACAAGCUCUUGAACAUCCUGGGGGCCUCCUGGCUCCACUGCCAGCCACCCCAAACAUCUCAGCCCAGGAGCAGCCACACCAGCAAGCACGGAGCAAAAUGGCCUGCUGGUUGCUUGUGCGCACCUGUGCAGACCUGCGCUGCUAUUUGAAUGUGCACUCUGCAAAUACUGGCAGUACCACCCAGACUUCAUUAGCCUAAGGUGAUCAGUACAUUUCUGUGCAUGGGAGUGUCUGCAUUUUAUGUAUUACUAUGGCUUGCCUGGGUGUGUAUAUAUUUGUUUGUGUGCUUGCCCUGUAAUGAUACAACCCAUCUUGCAUGUAUAUUUUAAAAUAAUUUAUAAAGUGAAUGUAGGUACCAUUAUCUGCACCACACGGCAGAGGAAACUGAAGUGGAGGGUCGGAGGUUAUGCCCUUUGCUGGAGGAUGCAGAGCAAGUCAUUGGCAGGCUGGGACACCAGAUUUCUGGCAUGAAGCCUGCAGUCUCCACUAAGCCACGUUACUUUCUGUGUUUAUUCAUUUUAGGAAGCAUCAUGAAUUGUAGAUUAUCUAACAUGCAUUCAUUCCAGUUGUGUUCAGAAAGCCCCAUGGCACUGGAGAGAGGAAAUUUUAUUCCUUUGCCUAAUGACCUUUGCCACUGCUGCUGCUACUGACAGCAAGACUUGAGAUCAGCAACAAUUCGUGUUGACUAAAGUCUGACCUGCAAAUAGCAGCUAACAAGAGCACUUAUGCAUCCUUUACCAAAUGUUUGAUGGAGUGACCUGCCAAGUCCAGCGACAUUCACUUCCAGUGACCAUAGCAGGUGGUCAGAGACCCAAUUAUGACCUGGAAUGCUAAACUAGAGUCCUGCAGAGGACCUGAUCCAGCAAUUAGUCCAGACCUCUGCCUUGCUGCAGGUUUAUUUACAGUGAUCACUUGCAUAUAUUCAUUCUGGAAAUUAUUAGUUUUGUUUAGUACAGUAAAGCUUACUGGAAAGCAGUUUUUUGUUUGUUUGUUUGUUUUUUUGCUGUUUGAUGACUUUCAGGUUUUGAAUAUGAGUGCACUUUUUCAUUCAGAAUAAAAAUUUUCACCAGAUUUUUCAGUGAAAGUUUGAAUGAAUCUCUUCUGGGAGUGACAGAUUUUGUCCAUGACAUCCUUUUAAUCUUUAGGCACAAUAGUAGAGGAAGUCUAGAAAUAAAAAUAAUUCCCAACCAAUAAAUUGAAUAAUUUAUUUUUCAAAAUGUCUGAAACAGACCAGAAGGAGUAUUUUGGAUUUAUUCAAAAUCUUUGGGAAAAUUGAAACAGCACAAUGCAUUUUCAGUAUGGCCUAUUCCGUACUUCUCACAGAAAGCUAAAAUUUGCAUGACAAAUGUGCCCACCUCCAAAGUAGACUGUAAACUGAGAGAACCAACUAAAUAAAUCACUUUGCAAGAGACAA